rnacentral:rRNA from 1 species
AGAAUGACACUCGGCAAUGGAUAUCUUGGCUCUCGCAUCGAUGAAGAACGUAGCGAAAUGCGAUACUUGGUGUGAAUUGCAGAAUCCCACGAACCAUCGAGUCUUUGAACGCAAGUUGCGCCCGAAGCCUUCUGGCCGAGGGCACGUCUGUCUGGGCAUCACGC